UACGUAGGUGGCAAGCGUUGUCCGGAAUUAUUGGGCGUAAAGCGCGCGCAGGCGGUCCUUUAAGUCUGAUGUGAAAGCCCACGGCUCAACCGUGGAGGGUCAUUGGAAACUGGGGGACUUGAGUGCAGGAGAGAAGAGUGGAAUUCCACGUGUAGCGGUGAAAUGCGUAGAGAUGUGGAAGAACACCGGUGGCGAAGGCGGUUGGCUGGGCCGUUGCUGACGACUGAUGCGCGACAGCGUGGGGAGCAAACAGGG
rnacentral:rRNA from 1 species